CGGAAAUGACGCCAUAUACACGUCAUACGGAAGACGCCUGUGCUGACGGUGUUGUAGCGAUACAGCCUUUUCUUCCUGGAGCCAGAGCAGAUGUCCCAAAGGAGAUUAUUUAUUUGGCGACACUGAAAAGCUGACCCAGACUCCCUCUGUGCAUGGUUUCUUCCCAGCAAUGAUCUGAUCUACCUACCCUGGGUUAAUUCUUGCCUUGUGCUCAAUGCUGCCAAGGUAGACACCAAGGUACAUGCCAAGCAGCAAAUAACCGGUUUGACUUCUGCGUUUCUGCACUCCAAAGAUUUUCUCUCUUUCAAUAUUGCAUCUUCUUUGAUUUCCUCCAGUCAGGGACUGGAAUCGGUAAUUUAAUUUCUAGCCUUAUUCUUCAGCAGCUUAUUGUAGUUUGGUUCAUAAUAUUGCAAGUUGCCUACUAACCAGGUUCGCGUUGAAACAUACUGAGAGUGCUGUGUAUUUGGCUCGCUUUCAAAACCAAGAAUCAUACGUGUCACCUCGUUUGUUUCUCGAGAAGUUGUAUUUGUAGAGCCAAACUGGAAAUCUGCAACCUAUUGUUAAUUUUGUUUUAGAGCCAGUCAUUUUUAUAUCUGGAGUUAAUCCUUUUAAAGUAAAUGCUUCAUGUUAAGUUCCUUUUUCUAAUGUAUACCACAGAGAGAGAGCAUGGAUGCACAAAAUGUAGCAUAUUGUUGUCAUAAAGGUGGCAUCCUCUGACAGUGCCACUUUUAAUGUCAUUGAGCUCUUCAGUGCCACCCAUUCUACUGUUGUUGGAGAUUGUAUGGCUUGAUGCACCUGCAAACAAUGAAACCCCCCUCAGCUCGAUAAUUUGGAGAGGUGGCCACAUACCUUUGGUCAUAUAGUAAAUAAAGGCUUAGCUGAAAUAAGAUGUUUAAGACCAUAAGACGACGAUGAAGAGUCUGAGAAGUCCUUUUCUGUUAAAUAUCACCCCCUCCUAGACACAAACACAACCUUUGAUCAUCUGCUUUCUGACAACAUAAAUUUGUAAAAGCAGCUCUGUUAAGAGGUACUUACAAAAACUGUUUUGUUUCUCCCCCACCAUUCCAUGUCUUUUAUCAGCUCUGAAUGAAGAUUUGCGAUGGCAGGUAUACACCUACAUACACGUCUUUCACAACAAAAUUAGAAAAACCUUUUCACUCAAGUGCUGUGGCAUUAACAGCCUGUGGGGUUUGUUUCUUUUUACUUAAAAUUGUGAACUUUUAGACAAAAGAACCUUCAGACUGACACCCAGAAACUAAACAAGGUGUGUCAGGCUAAUCUGUAAGCUGCUGGACUCCGACUUUGGUUUCAGUAAAGCAGCUUAUUGUCAGAGUGACUGGCAUUUCCCCUAAAGUGCCUUGUCCCAAACUGUCACCUCUUAUGUUCUGUUCCUUAACAGGAAGUGAGUUUAUGGUUUGUUUGUUUUUUUUUUGUUUUUUUUACAUCCAGUCUUGCUAGCAGAUCCUUCAACUUGCAGGGAAAACUUGGGGGUUGGUGGCAGGAU